UACGGAGGAUGCAAGCGUUGUCCGGAAUGAUUGGGCGUAAAGCGUCCGCAGGUGGCUGUGUAAGUCUGCUGUUAAAGAGUGAGGCUCAACCUCAUAAGAGCAGUGGAAACUACAUAGCUAGAGUACGUUCGGGGCAUAGGGAAUUCCUGGUGUAGCGGUGAAAUGCGUAGAGAUCAGGAAGAACACCAGUGGCGAAGGCGCUCUGCUAGGCCGUAACUGACACUGAGGGACGAAAGCUAGGGGAGCGAAUGGG
rnacentral:rRNA from 1 species